rnacentral:tRNA from 1 species
GCCUGGGUGGCUCAGUCGGUUAAGCAUCUGGCUUUGGCUCAGGUCAUGCAUGAUCUCACAGCUUGUGGGUUUGAGCCCCACAUCGGGCU